UUCUCAUGUCCUAUACAGAGAAAAUUCUCAGCUUAGAUUGGUGCACCUACCUGCUCGUGAGUGUGCGCACACACUGGGGUGAGCAACAGUUCUCCCCGGCUCCUGCAGUAAGAAGGCUGUCGUUCCUAAUGAAUCUGAUGCCCUCCCUGAGGAGACUCUAGGGAAGCAGGUGUCUAAACACAGGCCUUUAAAGCACAGAGGAAAGAAAUCUGAACAUGUGGCUUGCUUGGAAUGCACAGACCAUUAGAGCACCAUAGAGCAGAGUUUUUGUAUGAUUGUCCUUUAAACUCUUUAUGGUGUUCUAGUUUCCCGAUAUCCACUGGAGUUUUACUCCUAAGGGGGCAUCACAUCCCUCUGUGCUAAUCCUUUUAAACACUCAUCCUUCCCAUCUCAGUGAUUACUCACAAAAAGAGGAAACGUGUUGGUUUUAUAUUGGCUAAUAUUUUUUUCCACACCCCACUUUACAGUAUUUGGUUUGUGCAUUUUCACUUGUUAUUCCUUCCUGUACAAAGAAUUUUCCAAGAUGCUGUACUAAAAAUAGAGAUUGCCUUUUUUUUAGGGAUUGAGUGAAACUCUCUUUCAUCCAUUUCUCCUUCAUCCCUGCUGUCACAGCGAGUGCUUGCAAUUCCUUCCAUCUGGCACAGAUGCAAUGCUGCAUUUAGCCAGAUACUGCAGCAGCAGCACUCCGUGUUUAGGGCACGGGAGCUGUAGAAUGAGCAUAGUAACAGAAGCCUGGGCUCCAGAUCAGUCCGACGUUGAUGCACACGGCAGACCCGAGGGGGUUUGGGAAAUGUAGCUAAAAAUGGCUGCCAAGGAGCCACCGUGAAUAAAAGGUUCUUAGGAUAUCUCUGGAUAGCUGUGUUCUAUGAGGCUGCUCCAAGGUUUAAUAUCAAGGGCACUGGACGAAAUAGGAGCUCCACAGGCUGUUAAAUAAUGAAGGAAUCAAAAUAUUUGUAAAAACAGAAGAGAGAAAUCCCCUUGAGUUGUUCCACAGUAAGGGGGACCCACUGCUGCCUUUAAUAAUCAGGAGUCUGAAGUAAAUACGUACUGACUAUUCGUCACAACCAAGAAAUCUCUGUACAGGUAGAGAUGACACUUCUUACUGAUGCUCUCUCUUCUGAGUUCCACUGGCCCAUGGAACACGAGGGUUUGGUUCUUGAUUUCCGAAGCUGUGACUUUCCCAUUUAAAAUUUCCAUCUCAGAAAAGAGGCCUCUCCUGUGACAGGUCAAACACUAACAGAAGAGAGAUCAACAGGGUAGUCAGAGGCCAAGAGGACAAACUUUGUGAGAAAUGUGAAGAGUACCAUGAAAUUAAACUCAUAGGCUCAGUUCUCUAAAUAUAACUAAAUCAUCGUUUUCAUUUUCCUUUUUUUUUUCAAUUGGACAUGCUGAGAAAUAUAUAUGUUUGUAUAUACAUGCAUAUAUGUAUAUAUUGAUUUUUAUAUGUACAUUUUCUUAUCAUAUGUUUACUGAAGUCACUGUGAUAUAGUCAUCAAGGAAGACUCAAAUAAGAUAGUUUUGACUAGGAAAUACCUCAAAAACUCUUCAUCAUCCUUUCCAUUUUGGGAGAUGCAAAUCAAAACAAGUUUGAGAUUUCAUCUCACCCCACUCAGAAUGGCUAAGGUCAACAAACCAGCAGGCACCACAUGCUUGCCAAAGCGUGGGGGAUCAGAAAAACCCAUUGGCUGUUGGCAGGAGUGCAAACUAAAGAAGCCACUCUGGUGAUCAGUCUGGAGAAUCCUCUCAGGUAAGUGAGGCCCAGCUGCACAGCUCCCCGGAAUACACCAAAAAGACUUCAGAAUCGACUUCACAGACACUUGCUGAGUUGUGUUCAUUGCUGCUCUAUUCACAACACUUGGGAUAGAGCAACGGGAACGUCCUUCAGCACAUGAAUGGAUAAUAAAAUUGUGGUGCCUAUACACAAGGGAACACUAUUCAGCUGCAAAGGAAAAUGAAGUCAUGGACUUUGCAGCUACGUGGAUGUAAAUGGAAAAAUAUAUUGUGUGAGGUAACAGACACAGAAAGACAGACAGCACAUGUUCACUCACAUCUGUGGUUCCAAGCUCAAACUCUUCAGAUCUGAAUAUAUAACAUAGAUUAACUGCAACCAGUGUGUGAGUAAAAAGGGAUGAGGGGCAGGGGCUAGAAAGGAGUCUAGAAAGAUACAGCUGAUCUGAAGGGUGCAGUGGGGAAAUGGCGAGGGGUGUCUCUGUGGAGGAGGGCAGUCACCACAGAUGCAGAGGAAAGAAUGAAGGGCAAACAACAUCAAGUUUGACUAAAGCCUCAGGCAAUGAAAUUUCUUUCUGCUUGCCUAAACUUAUACUGUGUAUUUGUGUGUAUACAUAUUUAUAUGUAGUUCUACCAGUUGGGAUGAUAGCGCUCCCCAGAGUCACAAGGUAUCACACAAAACCCGUAAGACCAAGCAUGAGAAACCUCCAUUCAAUUUGUUGGUCAGCGUAAACCAAAUGACUUCAAGAGCAUGGUCUGUUGCUGUGUGUUUCCUCUCAGAGGCUGAGGGUAAGUCCAUACUGCUGAAAACACCAUCGCCUUCUGACACAAGCUCAGAAGACUUAAUCAGGAUCGGACCUGAAAUAUUGCUUCCUCUGCUUUAACUUUUACAGUACCAGACAUACCCACUAAAGGGCCAUAGGGGUACUCAUAUAUUGUGGCACACAGCAGCCGUCUAGUUUGACUGAAGGCCAAAAUAAUUCAGAUUUAGCUUCAUGAAAAUUCAAGUAAAUGAGGAUGUUUGAAAAAGCUAUUCCUAUCUUAGCUAAAACAGAGUUCAAAUUUUUGAAACUGGCAUUAACAAUAAAAAUGUUGGAAACACUAAAAAGUUUCUGAAAAUCAGAAGGUUCUUAUAAGUUUGCCUGAGAUCUGACCACUAUCCAGUUGGCCUUCAUGCUCCUAUUGGGUAAAAUAACCAAGGUCAACAAAGCGUAAAUCCUCUUGCCUGACUUGGAAAGCCGCGUUUAUUACAACCGCUUCUCUCCGGGUGUCCCAGAACCUCUGCGUAGCGGUAUUCGCUCCGCCCAUGACCUCGGGCUAUACAGCCCAAAGGAGGUGGUGCUUCCUGAUGUUUAUGUGACCUCUUAUAAGGGGUUGGAGAAGGGUCACAUGCCCUUCUCCCUGCUCCUGCUUGCAAGGUGGAUUCGCUUCUGUUCUGUAAUCGUGAGUGUAUUUUCUCAAUUUAUAUCUUAAUAAAUUCUGUUACAUUUAA